rnacentral:rRNA from 1 species
UACGUAGGGUGCAAGCGUUAUCCGGAAUUAUUGGGCGUAAAGAGCUCGUAGGCGGUUUGUCGCGUCUGCUGUGAAAACCCGAGGCUCAACCUCGGGCCUGCAGCCGAUACGGGCAGACUAGAGUUCGGCAGGGGAGACUGGAAUUCCUGGUGUAGCGGUGAAAUGCGCAGAUAUCAGGAGGAACACCGGUGGCGAAGGCGGGUCUCUGGGCCGAUACUGACGCUGAGGAGCGAAAGCGUGGGGAGCAAACAGG